ensembl:lncRNA
GUGUCCCUGUGGGUCCCUAUGUGUCCCUAUGGGUCCCAAUGCCUCUCUAUGUGUCUCUAUGGCUCUCUAUGUGUCCCUAUGUGUCCCUAUGUGUCCCUAUGGGUCGCUAUGGGUCGCUGUGGGUCCCUAUGGCUCUCUAUGGGAUCUCUAUGGCUCUCUAUGUGUCCCUAUGGCUCUCUAUGGGAUCUCUAGGGGUCCCUAUGGGUCCCUAUGUGUCCCUAUGUGUCCCUAUGGGUCGCUAUGGGUCCCGUCAGCGCUGUGUGCGCCCCAUAGGCGUCGCUAUGGGUCCCUAUGUGUCCCUAUGUGUCCCUAUGGGUCCCUAUGUGUCCCUAUGGGUCCCAAUGCCUCUCUGUGGGUCCCUAUGGGUCGCUAUGGGUCCCGUCAGCGCUGUGUGCCCCAUAGGCGUCGCUAUGUGUCCCUAUGUGUCCCUAUGUGUCCCUAUGUGUCCCUAUGUGUCCCUAUGGGUCCCAAUGUGUCCCUAUGGGUCCCAAUGCCUCUCUGUGGGUCCCUAUGUGUCCCUAUGUGUCUGUAUGUGUCCCAAUGCCUCUCUAUGUGUCUCUAUGGCUCUCUAUGUGUCCCUAUGUGUCCCUAUGUGUCCCUAUGGCUCUCUAUGUGUCCCUAUGUGUCCCUAUGGGUCCCAAUGCCUCUCUGUGGGUCCCUAUGUGUCCCUAUGGGUCGCUAUGGGUCCCGUCAGCGCUGUGUGCCCCAUAGGCGUCGCUAUGUGUCCCUAUGUGUCCCUAUGUGUCCCAAUGUGUCCCUAUGGGUCCCUAUGUGUCCCUAUGGGUCCCUAUGUGUCCCAAUGCCUCUCUAUGUGUCCCUAUGUGUCCCUAUGGGUCGCUAUGGGUCCCGUCAGCGCUGUGUGCCCCAUAGGCGUCGCUAUGUGUCCCUAUGUGUCCCUAUGUGUCCCUAUGGUUCCCUAUGUGUCCCUAUGGUUCCCUAUGUGUCCCAAUGCCUCUCUGUGGGUCCCUAUGGGUCCCUAUGUGUCCCUAUGGGUCCCAAUGCUUCUCUGUGGGUCCCUAUGUGUCCCUAUGGGUCCCUAUGUGUCCCUAUGCCUCUCUAUGUGUCCCUAUGUGUCCCUAUGGGUCUCUAUGUGUCCCUAUGGGUCCCUAUGUGUCCCUAUGGGUCGCUAUGGGUCCCGUCAGCACUGUGUGUGCUUCAUAGGCGUCGCUAUGUGUCCUUGUGU